UACGUAGGGGGCAAGCGUUGUCCGGAAUCAUUGGGCGUAAAGAGCGUGUAGGCGGCCAGAAAAGUCCGCUGUGAAAACUCGAGGCUCAACUUCGAGCUGUCGGUGGAAACUUUCUGGCUAGAGUCCGGAAGAGGAGAAUGGAAUUCCUGGUGUAGCGGUGAAAUGCGCAGAUAUCAGGAGGAACACCAAUGGCGAAGGCAGCUCACUGGGACGGUAUUGACGCUGAGACGCGAAAGCGUGGGGAGCAAACAGG
rnacentral:rRNA from 1 species